AUUGAACGCUGGCGGCAUGCCUUACACAUGCAAGUCGAACGGUAACGCGGGGCAACCUGGCGACGAGUGGCGAACGGGUGAGUAAUGUAUCGGAACGUGCCCAGUUGUGGGGGAUAACUGCUCGAAAGAGCAGCUAAUACCGCAUACGACCUGAGGGUGAAAGCGGGGGAUCGCAAGACCUCGCGCAAUUGGAGCGGCCGAUAUCAGAUUAGGUAGUUGGUGGGGCAAAGGCUCACCAAGCCAACGAUCUGUAGCUGGUCUGAGAGGACGACCAGCCACACUGGGACUGAGACACGGCCCAGACUCCUACGGGAGGCAGCAGUGGGGAAUUUUGGACAAUGGACGCAAGUCUGAUCCAGCCAUGCCGCGUGCAGGAAGAAGGCCUUCGGGUUGUAAACCGCUUUUGUCAGGGAAGAAACGCUCUGGGUUAAUACCUCGGGGUAAUGACGGUACCUGAAGAAUAAGCACCGGCUAACUACGUGCCAGCCGCCGCCGUAACAC
rnacentral:rRNA from 1 species